rnacentral:rRNA from 1 species
GGGUCAGUAGGUUGGUCGUGCCACCGGUACGUACUGGUCUCACUGAUUCCUCCUUCCUGAAGAACCGUAAUGCCAUUAAUCUGGUGUUGCGGGUAAACAGGACUGUUACUUUGAAAAAAUUAGAGUGUUUAAAGCAAGCUAACGCUUGAAUACAUUAGCAUGGAAUAAUGAAAUAGGACGAUCGAUCCUAUUUUGUUGGUUUCUAGGAUUGACGUA